UACGAAGGGAGCUAGCGUUGUUCGGAAUUACUGGGCGUAAAGGGCGCGUAGGCGGCUCUGUAAGUCAGAUGUGAAAUCCCCGGGCUUAACCUGGGAACUGCAUUUGAUACUGCAAGGCUAGAGAUUGAGAGAGGUAAGUGGAAUUAUGAGUGUAGAGGUGAAAUUCGUAGAUAUUCAUAAGAACAUCAGUGGCGAAGGCGGCUUACUGGCUCAAUACUGACGCUAAGGCGCGAAAGCGUGGGGAGCAAACAGG
rnacentral:rRNA from 1 species